CGGUUCGAGUCCGCUUACCUCCACUGAUUACCACCUCUUCCAUAUUAUGUAGAAAGGAAAUGUAUUGAGUUGUGAUCAAAUUCUGAACGAAUCUAGCUUCCUAAUGAAUUCAUUAAGAUGCUGGACUCAUUGAAUUAAUUUCAUUAUUUUCAGA
rnacentral:misc_RNA from 1 species